rnacentral:rRNA from 1 species
GAUGAACGCUGGCGGCGUGCCUAACACAUGCAAGUCGAGCGAUUCUCUUCGGAGGAGAGCGGCGGACGGGUGAGUAACGCGUGGGUAACCUGCCCUGUACACACGGAUAACAUACCGAAAGGUAUGCUAAUACGAGAUAAUAUACUUUUAUCGCAUGGUAGAAGUAUCAAAGUUUUUGCGGUACAGGAUGGACCCGCGUCUGAUUAGCUAGUUGGUAAGGUAACGGCUUGCCAAGGCGACGAUCAGUAGCCGACCUGAGAGGGGGAUCGGCCACAUUGGAACUGAGACACGGUCCAAACUCCUACGGGAGGCAGCAGUGGGGAAUAUUGCACAAUGGGCGAAAGCCUGAUGCAGCAACGCCGCGUGAGCGAUGAAGGCCUUCGGGUCGUAAAGCUCUGUCCUCAAGGAAGAUAAUGACGGUACUUGAGGAGGAAGCCCCGGCUAACUACGUGCCAGCAGCCGCCGUAA